rnacentral:rRNA from 1 species
AUUGAACGCUGGCGGCAGGCUUAACACAUGCAAGUCGAGCGGGCACCUUCGGGUGUCAGCGGCGGACGGGUGAGUAACGCGUGGGAACGUGCCCUCUGGUUCGGAAUAACUCAGGGAAACUUGAGCUAAUACCGGAUACGCCCUUUUGGGGAAAGGCUUGCUGCCGGAGGAUCGGCCCGCGUCUGAUUAGCUAGUUGGUGAGGUAAUGGCUCACCAAGGCUUCGACGGGUAGCCGGCCUGAGAGGGCGACCGGCCACACCGGGACUGAGAUACGGCCCAGACUCCUACGGGAGGCAGCAGUGGGAAUAUUGCACAAUGGGCGAAAGCCUGAUGCAGCAACGCCGCGUGCGGGAUGACGGCCUUCGGGUUGUAAACCGCUUUCAGUAGGGACGAAGCUAACGUGACGGUACCUACAGAAGAAGCACCGGCCAACUACGUGCCAGCAGCCGCGGUGAUACGUAGGGUGCAAGCGUUGUCCGGAAUUAUUGGGCGUAAAGGGCUCGUAGGCGGUCCAUCGCGUCGGGAGUGAAAAGCUGGGGCUCAACCCCAGUCCUGCUUCCGAUACGGGUGGACUAGAGGUAUGCAGGGGAGAACGGAAUUCCUGGUGUAGCGGUGAAAUGCGCAGAUAUCAGGAGGAACACCGGUGGCGAAGGCGGUUCUCUGGGCAUUACCUGACGCUGAGGAGCGAAAGCGUGGGGAGCAAACAGGAUUAGAUACCCUGGUAGUCCACGCCGUAAACGUUGGGCGCUAGGUGUGGGGGACAUUCCACGUCCUCCGUGCCGCAGCUAACGCAUUAAGCGCCCCGCCUGGGGAGUACGGCCGCAAGGCUAAA